AGCUGUUCCCCUCUGGAGGUUUAUUGACCUUCACACCUUAUGGGCCGCGGUCUUCCGUCGGCCCUUUUUUCUUUUCUGG
rnacentral:ncRNA from 2 species